UCUGGGAUAGUAUAAAGGCUAGUAUAUGUGCUUCUCACUACGUUAGCAAUACGUAAGCGCACGAGAUCGGGGUUCGAUUCCCCGUCCUAGAA
rnacentral:tRNA from 1 species